rnacentral:tRNA from 1 species
GUGGGUAUAGCUCAGUGGUAUAGAGUGCAUGCCUAGUAUGCACAAGGUCCUGGGUUUAAUCCCCAGUGCCUCCA